rnacentral:rRNA from 1 species
AAGCUCGAAGGUGCGGGUAUCGAACAGGAUUAGAUACCCUGGUAGUCCGCACAGUAAACGAUGGAUGCCCGCUGUUAGCGCCUGGCGUUAGCGGCUAAGCGAAAGCAUUAAGCAUCCCACCUGGGGAGUACGCCGGCAACGGUGAAACUCAAAGGAAUUGACGGGGGCCCGCACAAGCGGAGGAACAUGUGGUUUAAUUCGAUGAUACGCGAGGAACCUUACCCGGGCUUGAAUUGCAGAGGAAUUAUUUAGAGAUAAAUACGCCCUUCGGGGUCUCUGUGAAGGUGCUGCAUGGUUGUCGUCAGCUCGUGCCGUGAGGUGUCGGCUUAAGUGCCAUAACGAGCGCAACCCCUUUUCUUAGUUGCCAUCAGGUAAUGCUGGGCACUCUGGGAACACUGCCACCGCAAGGUGUGAGGAAGGUGGGGAUGACGUCAAAUCAGCACGGCCCUUACGUCCGGGGCUACACACGUGUUACAAUGGCCGGUACAGAGGGACGGUGUAAUGUAAAUUGCAUCAAAUCUUAAAAGCCGGUCCCAGUUCGGACUGAGGUCUGCAACCCGACCUCACGAAGCUGGAUUCGCUAGUAAUCGCGCAUCAGCCAUGGCGCGGUGAAUACGUUCCCGGGCCUUGUACACACCGCCCGUCAAGCCAUGAAAGCCGGGGGUGCCUGAAGUUCGUAACCGUAAGGAGCGACCUAGGGCAAAACUGGUAAUUGGGGCUAAGUCGUAACAAGGUAGCCGUACCGGAAGGUGCGGCUG